rnacentral:rRNA from 1 species
AUUGAACGCUGGCGGCAGGCCUAACACAUGCAAGUCGAACGAGUGGCGGACGGGUGAGUAAUGUCUGGGAAACUGACUGAUGGAGGGGGAUAACUACCGGAAACGGUAGCUAAUACCGCAUACCAUCGGAUGUGCCCAGAUGGGAUUAGCUUGUUGGUGGGGUAACGUCUCACCAAGGCGACGAUCCCUAGUGGGGCUGAGAGGAUGACGAGUCACACUGGAACUGAGACACGGUCCGGACUCCUACGGGAGGCAGCAGUGGGGAAUAUUGCACAAUGGGCGCAAUCCUGAUGCAGCCAUGCCGCGUGUAUGAAGAAGGCCUUCGGUUUGUAAAGUACUGUCAGCGGGGAGGCGUUACCCGCAGAAGAAGCACCGGCUAACUCCGUGCCAGCAGCCGCGGUAAUUC